CACAAGCGGUGGAGCAUGUGGUUUAAUUCGAUGAUACGCGAGGAACCUUACCUGGGCUCAAAUGUAUGUUGACGUAUUUCUGAAAGGGAUACUUCUUCGGACAAUAUACAAGGUGCUGCAUGGUUGUCGUCAGCUCGUGCCGUGAGGUGUCGGGUUAAGUCCCAUAACGAGCGCAACCCCUAUCAUUAGUUGCCAUCAGGUCAAGCUGGGGACUCUAAUGAAACUGCCUACGCAAGUAGUGAGGAAGGUGGGGAUGACGUCAAAUCAGCACGGCCCUUACGUCCAGGGCUACACACGUGUUACAAUGGCCAGUACAGAGGGCAGCCACCCCGCGAGGGGGCGCUAAUCCUAAAAGCUGGUCCCAGUUCGGAUCGGAGUCUGCAACCCGACUCCGUGAAGCUGGAUUCGCUAGUAAUCGCGCAUCAGCCACGGCGCGGUGAAUACGUUCCCGGGCCUU
rnacentral:rRNA from 1 species